rnacentral:rRNA from 1 species
GACGAACGCUGGCGGCGUGCCUAAUACAUGCAAGUAGAACGCUGAAGCUUGGUGCUUGCACCGAGCGGAUGAGUUGCGAACGGGUGAGUAACGCGUAGGUAACCUGCCUGGUAGCGGGGGAUAACUAUUGGAAACGAUAGCUAAUACCGCAUAAGAGUAGGUGUUGCAUGACAUUUGCUUAAAAGGUGCAAUUGCAUCACUACCAGAUGGACCUGCGUUGUAUUAGCUAGUUGGUGAGGUAACGGCUCACCAAGGCAACGAUACAUAGCCGACCUGAGAGGGUGAUCGGCCACACUGGGACUGAGACACGGCCCAGACUCCUACGGGAGGCAGCAGUAGGGAAUCUUCGGCAAUGGACGGAAGUCUGACCGAGCAACGCCGCGUGAGUGAAGAAGGUUUUCGGAUCGUAAAGCUCUGUUGUAAGAGAAGAACGAGUGUGAGAGUGGAAAGUUCACACUGUGACGGUAUCUUACCAGAAAGGGACGGCUAACUACGUG